UACGGAGGUGGCAAGCGUUACUCGGAAUUACUGGGCGUAAAGCGUGCGCAGGCGGUUCGCCAAGUCAGGGGUGAAAUCCCGGGGCUCAACCUCGGAACUGCCUUUGAUACAGCACGUCUCGAGUCCGGAAGAGGUGGGUGGAAUUCCUAGUGUAGAGGUGAAAUUCGUAGAUAUUAGGAAGAACACCGGUGGCGAAGGCGGCCCACUGGUCCGGUACUGACGCUGAGGUGCGAAAGCGUGGGGAGCAAACAGG
rnacentral:rRNA from 1 species